UCCCUAUCCGCGCCCCUAUCCGGCGCGGGCCGCUGCGGAAACGCAGCUCUCCACCCCCAGCUGGCUCUCCCGGACCCCCUGGGCCCCACCCUCAGCGCUCCCCACCGCUCGGCGCCCCUGCGUCUGCGCUCCCCUCUCUCCCCUCUCUAUCCACUGGGUCUGGGCCGCACUUCCCGCCCACCCGCCUGCCAGCGGCCGGGAAGCCUGUGGAAGUUAUGGGGAUGCAGGGAGAGGGGGAGAGGGGAGCUUGUGUGCUAGGGUCUGCAAAGCUCGUCUGCAUCAGACAGGAAUUUUCCCCAGACGCGGGUGCACGUGAAUUAAUUCAUCAGAAGGCGGUUCACGGCCUGAGUGAGGGGGACGAGGGCGGCGAAUUCCUCCGCCUCAUUCCUACCCUGACGAUUCGAGAUGCUCGCUUCACCCCACUGAGAUGUAACUCAGUUUUGUGGGAUCCCACUGCCCUCCAGGUGCCGCUCCGAGUGCUCUACACAGAUUUUCAUUCAGUCCUUGCGGCACACGAAGAGUGGCUGUACCAUUUUGCAUUCCCAGACCGAAGUGUGAAAGCUCCAGAUGCCCCACGCCCUCACCAGCCCACGGUGUUGUCAGCCUUAAUAGUGCUGACCAUUCUGCCUGUUAAUAUGAUGAAUUACACUGAUUCAGUUUCAAAUGUCCAACCAAGCUUGCACUCCAGAGAUGAAGCCCACUUGAUCACAUGGAUUAUUCUUUUAAUAUAUGAUGGAUACGACUUGGCUGUUCUUUUGUUGAGGAUUUUUGUGUUUAUGUUAAUGAGGAUAUUAUUUGUAGUUUUCUUUUCUUGUAAUGUUUUUGUCUUUGUUCAGUGUCAGAGUAAUGCCAACUUCAUAAAGUGAGCUGGGAAGUACUCCCUCAUUUUCUGUUUUCUGUGAAAGAAUUGUAUAGAAUUGAUGUUAUUUCUUCCUUAAGUGUUGAGUAGAAUUCACUUGCAAAGCCAUCUGAGGUUGACAUCUUCUUUGGGAAUGACUUUAGCUAUAAAUUCAAUUUAUUUAACAGAUAUAGGGCUAUUAAGGUUAUUUAAUUUUUUUCUUGAAUGAGCUUUAGUGUCCUGUGUUUUUCAAGGAAUUUUUCCAUUUUAUUUAAGUUUUUAGAUUUGUUGGCAUAAAGUUAUCCCAAUAUUUCCUUAGAAGUUGUGACUUUUACUGCAUAUAAAACAUACCUCAAUAAAGCUAAUACAUACAUAUAUA
rnacentral:lncRNA from 1 species